AUAGCAGAAAAAAGAAGGAAACUUUAUAAAGAUUGCAUUGCUGUUCAUAAAGUAAAUCAGUUGAGUUGAAACCAUUUAUUUAAAAAUAGCAGCUUCAAGAGAACUCAAAACUGAAGACCAAAGGAGAGGGCUUAGGUUUAUGUGGAAGUGGGGCCGUAGUCAACUACAUUACCACACAACAAAGACUUUGGCUUGACGUUUAAGUUUUCAGUCAUGUUGGAAAGUAACGUUGACUCUUUUAUAAACGACGCAUUCCACAGUUUUAACUCAUUUUUAGUUGUGUCUGGAGGUCAUGUCUCUAAAAAAAAGUCUAUAAAUAGACCUCAAGUUCACCAGAUGCCUGACGAGUGGAUGCCCUGACUCAUGCACUAAGCUACAGUGUCUGUUAAAUCCAUAAUGCGGAUAUCACAGUCGCUGAGCGGGCUCUGGAGCAGCACAGAGUAUAUCUCCCUUUUUUGAACCUGAUUGCUGCAUUACUUAUACGCAGAGUGGAAGACCGCAGGCUGCCACGUCUUUGUGAGUAUUAGUGAUUGGGUUAUACUACUACAAGUAAACUGGUGUUGAUGUCAUGUUAGUCUGUUAAAUAUGAUUUUUGUUAUUAUAAUUAUACUUACACAAACCACAAACUGAGUUCACACUGACAUUCUGACAACUUAAGACAUGUCAGGCUAGCUGGGUAGUCUAACCGUAGCUAGGCUACGGUUAGCUGGUAGUAUAUGUUCUUUUAAAUAUCCACAAUAUACAGUAUUCUUAACUAAUGUGACCAUAGUCUUUAAGGCUGAAUCGGUGAUCUUUGCUUAUUAUUCACCAAAAUUCCUGAAUAUUGUGUCCAUUGUGUGUGCUAGUUAGCUACAAAAAAAUCAUAGCCAUGUUAGCGAGUUAGUUUGUAGCAAGAUACUUUUACCAGUCAUAUGCUGACAGGGGCGUGCUAGCGGUCGCCAGGACGGCCGGCCGGCGUAACUCGCGCGUCCAUAUGCUCGCGCAUAACGAGCAAAAGAACACCUAAACCUAUGUAAGAGAGAAUCAUGUUUAUGAUAUUUCAUAUUUCAAGUUUAAAUGGAUAUAAUACAAGGAUUUUAUUUGUCACCUAUAUAGAAAUACUAAUGUACGACAUGUCUUGAAUUAGCAUUUGAAUGUUCAACUUUACUGCACAUGGGGUAAAGGAAAGAACGAUCAGGAAAGUAUUUUAAUAAAUAGCAAAAAGGGGGAGUAUAACUGCUAUAACCACAAAGUGUACUCAGUGUAAGUGCCAAGUGAUGUGAUUUAUGUAGUUUUGUGUGUGUCCUGUGUAAAAGUGCAAAUGUUAGUUUAAGACAAAUGUGUCUCUAUCCUAAAAAAAGCCACCAUUAUGGUGAUACUGACGACAGUGACAGAGAGCCUGCACCCAAGAAGGCCCCAACACCAUCAAUACGGCCGUCUUCAGGACCGUCAUUACCAUCACGAUCAACCAACUCCGUGGCCAUCCUACUUCGCCCAACCUCCAUUACCACCACCUCCAGGGCCAUCCUCAUUUUCUCCACUUCCACCACGCUCCCCUUCAAGGCCCCCCUCAGUUUCUACACCUCAUCAGCAGUUAUUCCAACCUCCUUACACCUGUUCAUCUCAGGACAACUACAUCGAUCCAUCUCCGUGCCAUCCACCUCCCGGGAUGUCCUCUGAUGGCUUAGCUAGUUAGAGAUAGAGCCACCGUAUUUAUGCCCAGCCUGAAUAUGGGGCGUUCUGGGAAGGACCCAAUAAUCUGCACACCUGCUGAGCUCCACAUGCUGACACUAAUGGAGAACACGAAGCAACAGCUAAACCAGCUUUCAAUAAAUAUGAUCACGGCCGGAGCAGCAGCCGCUGAGCCUGUUGUGAGGAGAUCUCCUUCCCCCUGGACUCCUCGAGGGGGUUGAUAACUUUGAAGACUGGUUGAAAAACGCAGGCAACACAGCCAAAAAACAGCACUUAUAUAACAUUAAUCUGUCUAAUAACACUUGGUAUUCACAUGGUAUUCAUGCUGUUUUUUGUUGUCAAUGGGCAUCACAAUAAGAUUUGUCAGGGUACCCGGUGAUAUCCCUUGGGCCUUUUAAUAUAUUUUAUAUAUA